rnacentral:lncRNA from 1 species
UGUUAAAAAACAAACAACCUUAAUCACUCUAAUGCGCAUUCAGAUUCAAAUGUCUUAAUCUUAAUGCAAAAAAUGGGGCCUAAGAUAUUAGGACAUGUAAUUGCACUUUAUUCUUCGGAUUCCCCUUGUCUGUACCAGUUCUGAGAUGAUUGUUUGACAUCUGGGAAAUGCCUCCGAAGGAACACGUAAUAACACUUGAUUUCUAAUCGUAUUUAAUAUUUGAUUGUGUAAGAGGUAUACUUUUCCAUCAUCUUUAUUGAUCCCAAAAUAGUUGAACAUGAAAUGAUAAAAGAUAAGUCCAAUUAAUGAAGCAUUUUCGUGCUGCAAGUUUUUUAACUUUAAACACCAAAAAUAAUUCUCUAGCUUCUUCUUCUUAUUGAUGGUGAUGAUUCUAAUCAUCUACAAGAUAAUCGAACAUGCAAAUGAAUAACUGCUUCAAGUUCUUUAACUUCAAGCACCAAACAGAGUUCUCUAACUUCCUUUUUAUGGUUCAGGUCUGCUUGGCACACCUCAAUAAUUCACUGGGAAACUUGCUAGUCCUGACAAUCUAGGUUCCAAGUAAACCUGUCCACCUAGGAUAGGGCAAGAGGGCGCAAACUCAUGUUAUUAUUUUAUAGAAACGAAAUCAAGACUUCUACUCAUCUCAUCCAGCAGGAACCACUUAUAAAGCAUCUUGUCCCUACCAGAAAGCUUCACAUCCAUUAGGAGGCACUCGCGUCAUAUCUUUUGGAAUAGCUAACUUCUAUCAAAUCUUAAUCAAUGAUUUUUAAGGAGAGUAAGACCUAGUUUCAAAUUGUUAUCAUUGAAUCAACAAGAAAGAUAAUAAAAUUACAGUGAGAACGGUUAUUUAAGAACCGCUUUAUGAAGCUUCUUGCCCCUACCAAAAAGCUUCACAUCCGUUAAGAGGCACUCGCGUCAUAUCUCUUGGAAUAGCUAAC